rnacentral:rRNA from 1 species
CCUACGGGAGGCUGCAGUGGGGAAUGUUGGACAAUGGGCGAAAGCCUGAUCCAGCCAUGCCGCGUGUGUGAAGAAGGCCUUCGGGUUGUAAAGCACUUUCAGUGGGGAAGAAAGCCUUGGGGCUAAUACCCUCGAGGAAGGACAUCACCCACAGAAGAAGCACCGGCUAACUCCGUGCCAGCAGCCGCGGUAAUACGGAGGGUGCGAGCGUUAAUCGGAAUUACUGGGCGUAAAGCGCGCGUAGGCGGUCUGAUAAGCCGGUUGUGAAAGCCCCGGGCUCAACCUGGGAACGGCAUCCGGAACUGUCAGGCUAGAGUGCAGGAGAGGAAGGUAGAAUUCCCGGUGUAGCGGUGAAAUGCGUAGAGAUCGGGAGGAAUACCAGUGGCGAAGGCGGCCUUCUGGACUGACACUGACGCUGAGGUGCGAAAGCGUGGGUAGCAAACAGGAUUAGAUACCCCGGGUAGUC